GGAAGGAGAGCGGCCCGGUGCGCGCGCGCAGAGAACCCGAGACAGAGAGGGAGAGGGAGAGAAGAGAGCGAGAGCCAACCACCGCCGAGUCAAGAUUCAGCGAUUCCACAGCAAUCGCCCUAAUGACAACAGCCUCAUAAUAUCUCCCCUAAAUCCACAAAUUCAGCCGCCUCCCUAAGUAAGGAGUUGUGGAGGAGCUGUGGCAGAAGAGAAGCCUGGGAGCCCUCCUGACCCCAGGAAGCCCUGAGGAUGCCCACCUGCCCACACACACACUAGGAGCUCUGGGCCUGCCCACCAGCUCCAGAAGGGCACUCAAACUUUGGAGGCCAGCCACUUGGAUGAAGUGGAUAAGGCCUGAAAAUUACUUGUUUGCUCAUAUUGGAAGAUAAUUAUUUUAAAAACUAUCUAAUUUCUGGAGGGAAAGUAUCCUUGCAAGCCUAAAACAGACUCCAAAAGUCCAUAGAAAGCACAGGGUCCUCUCUCCCUCUGGCCACCACAGCCCCCAGGCCAGGCAUGGGUAUUUAUUCUUAGGUAUGUUGCUUUUAAGAAGAUGUAAUCAGCAUCUUGAGCCAGGCCUCCCUUUGUGAGGCUUCUGUAACUAUGGAAGUGUGAUUUACGCAGAUUUGUCGGGGUCAGAGACGUCGUUCCCCACGCACUGUGUAUAUUUAGACAGGACUUGGUUUGGUGUUAAAAAGUGUAUAUGUUGAAUGGAUUCACACACAGUAGCCAACAAUGCCCACAUUGUCGGCCCGUGUACAACGCGUAUUGAAACGCAGCGCCCAGACUUCAACUAAUCUGCCCUCAAUAAAGCUGAAAUAAUUAUCCUAA